GGUCGGAUGGUGUAGUUGGUUAUCACGUAAGCUUCACACGCUUAAGGUCUCCGGUUCGAUCCCGGAUUCGAUCA